UCCGCUGAACUUUUGUAAAACUUUAAAAAACGGUCGGUGAACAUUAUUAAUUUUAUACGCUACCUUUUGUCAACUGUUUGAUGAUUUUUAUAAAAUGUCCGUCACUUUUUGAAAGAAAAUAUUUUACCGCCGAAUUGAAUACAGCAAACAUUUAUUCCAGUACUUAUAAUAGCAGAGUGUCACAUCACAGUUUCGUCGA